GAUGGUUGUGUGGUGACACGCACCUCUCGUUCCAGCUGCUCCAGAGGCUGAGGUGGGAGGAUGGCUCGAGCCCAGGAGUUCUGGGCUGUAUUGCACUGCGCCGAUCAGGUGCACUAAGUUCAACAUCAACAUGGUGACCUCUGGGAAGCAGGGGAGCACCAGGUUACCUAAAGAGGGGUGAAUCAGCCUGGGUCAGAAACGGAGCAGGUCAAAACUCCCGUGCUGGCCAGUAGUGGCAUCGCACUUGUGAAUAGCCACUGCACUCUAGUCUGGGCGACACAGUGAGACCUCGUCUCU
rnacentral:SRP_RNA from 1 species